CUGCCAGACUCCUACGGGAGGCAGCAGUGGGGAAUAUUGCACAAUGGGGGAAACCCUGAUGCAGCGACGCCGCGUGAGCGAUGAAGUAUUUCGGUAUGUAAAGCUCUAUCAGCAGGGAAGAAAAUGACGGUACCUGACUAAGAAGCCCCGGCUAACUACGUGCCAGCAGCCGCGGUAAUACGUAGGGGGCAAGCGUUAUCCGGAUUUACUGGGUGUAAAGGGAGCGUAGACGGCAGUGCAAGUCCGGAGUGAAAGCCCGGGGCUCAACCCUGGGACUGCUCUGGAAACUGUAAAGCUGGAGUGCGGGAGGGGCAGGCGGAAUUCCUGGUGUAGCGGUGAAAUGCGUAGAUAUCAGGAGGAACACCGGCGGCGAAGGCGGCCUGCUGGACCGUAACUGGCGUUGAGGCUCGAAAGCGUGGGGAGCAAGCAGGAUUAGAUACCCGGGUAC
rnacentral:rRNA from 1 species